GUAACGGCUCACCAAGGCAACGACGAGUAGCUGGUCUGAGAGGAUGGCCAGCCACAUUGGGACUGAGAUACGGCCCAGACUCCUACGGGAGGCAGCAGUGGGGAAUCUUGCGCAAUGGCCUAACGGCUGACGCAGCGACGCCGCGUGUGGGAUGAAGCUCCUCGGAGUGUAAACCACUGUUGCCCGGGACGAAUAGCUCGAUUAAUCGAGCCUGACGGUACCGGGUGAGGAAGCACCGGCUAACUCCGUGCCAGCAGCCGCGGUAAUACGGGGGGUGCGAGCGUUGUCCGGAAUCACUGGGCGUAAAGGGCGCGUAGGUGGUUUGAUAAGGGUGUGGUGAAAGUCCGGGGCUCAACCCCGGAUCUGCCGUGCCGACUGUCAAACUCGAGGGCUGUAGAGGCAGACGGAAUUCCGGGUGUAGCGGUGGAAUGCGUAGAGAUCCGGAGGAAGACCGGUGGCGAAGGCGGUCUGCUGGGCAGUUUCUGACACUGAUGCGCGACAGCGUGGGGAGCAAACAGGAUUAGAUACCCUGGUAGUCCACGCCGUAAACGAUGGGUACUAGGUGCCUGGGGGAGCGACCCUCUGGGUGCCGGCGCUAACGCAGGAAGUACCCCGCCUGGGGAGUACGACCGCAAGGUUGAAACUCAAAGGAAUUGACG
rnacentral:rRNA from 1 species